GGUUGUGGCUCAGUGGUAAAGUGCUCGCCUUGCACGGGUGAGGCCCUGGGUUCAAUCCUCAGCACCA
rnacentral:tRNA from 1 species